rnacentral:rRNA from 1 species
UACCAGCUCUCCGAGUGGUAGGGAUGAUUAUUGGGCUUAAAGCGUCCGUAGCUGGCUUAGCAAGUCUCCUGUUAAAUUCAGCGACCUAAUCGUUGAGCCGCGGGUGAUACUACUAGGCUAGGAGGCGGGAGAGGUCGACGGUACUUUCGGGGUAGGGGUGAAAUCCUAUAAUCCCGGGAGGACCACCAGUGGCGAAGGCUGUCGACUAGAACGCGCUCGACGGUGAGGGACGAAAGCUGGGGGAGCGAACCGGAUUAGAUACCCGGGUAGUCCCAGCUGUAAACUAUGCGGGCUAGGUGUUGGGGUGGCUACGGGCCACUUCAGUGCCGCAGGUAAGCCAUUAAGCCCGCCGCCUGGGGAGUACGGCCGCAAGGCUGAAACUUAAAGGAAUUGGCGGGGGAGCACCACAAGGCGUGAAGCUUGCGGUUC